GGCAACUGGUCAGCUUUUUCUCUACACUGGUUUUCAUAAAUCUCCUCCAUAGUUUUCCACCAGAAUACCCCGUUAACACCUAAAACUCAAGUUGCCCAUGGGUUUCUUUGGAAGCAGAUGGCCGUGUUGAGAAGAGAAGCAGAUGACGGCGGUCUUCUUGUAAUCAGAUCUCUAGAAUGUUCCCCGGAUCCCUCCUCGCCUAGCUCUGGUCAGUCAUCGACAAGGACCCAUCCGCUCAUUUAAGACAAACCUGGACCCAUCUGCUCUUAAGACAAACCUGGACCCAUCUGCUCAUUUAAGACAAAACUGGACAAACCUCAUCCCAACUCCUGAUUCCUGCUAGAAGCUGUGCAAGAUGGGGAACUGGAAAAUCAUCUCAAGUUCUGCUUUUGCUAGAGCUGUGUGGUACGAACAACCCUACCGAGAUGACGUUCUGCAGAUCCUAAGAAGAAUAUGGCAGGUCACCUCUAUAGGACUGUUUGAACCCCUACAUCACAACCAAAGGCAAAACUGGACAUAGUUUUCAUGUCCCCCAAUCUCUAGUGGCUUCUAUCAGGAAUUAGUGGUUGUGGUGGCUGAUGAGGGUCCGCAAGUUGAAUGAUCUGAUACUGAUGACCCAUUUUAUAGAUAGGCUGUCAAUAUUCCAGUCCUGAAAUAAACCUUGCUGCCAAAAUAGACAUGACACGGUACCCAUUUUUGCACAUAAACAUAAUUUUACGUAUAAUUUUUUUUACUGUGUUGUUUAACUGAAAAAUUGAAUAAGGUAUGUAAAAAAAUAAAGGCAAAUAUAUAGAAAAUGUGU